GACGAACGCUGGCGGCGUGCUUAACACAUGCAAGUCGAACGGAAAGGCCCUGCUUUUGUGGGGUGCUCGAGUGGCGAACGGGUGAGUAACACGUGAGUAACCUGCCCUUGACUUUGGGAUAACUUCAGGAAACUGGGGCUAAUACCGGAUAGGAGCUCCUGCUGCAUGGUGGGGGUUGGAAAGUUUCGGCGGUUGGGGAUGGACUCGCGGCUUAUCAGCUUGUUGGUGGGGUAGUGGCUUACCAAGGCUUUGACGGGUAGCCGGCCUGAGAGGGUGACCGGCCAAAAUGGGACCUAGAUUCCGCCCCGACUUCUACCGGAGGCAGCCGUGGGGAAUAUUGCACAAUGGGCGGAAGCCUGAUGCAGCAACGCCGCGUGCGGGAUGACGGCCUUCGGGUUGUAAACCGCUUUCGCCUGUGACGAAGCGUGAGUGACGGUAAUGGGUAAAGAAGCACCGGCUAACUACGUG
rnacentral:rRNA from 1 species